CCACAACCAGUUGCUUCAGAUGAAGAUAAGAAAGCCUACAGUGAGAGACUAUGGAAUAAACUGUUUAUACAGGAAAGAGAGCCACAAGUGCACACCAAUGAAAUGCAGGUGUUGAAUAAAAAUCCCACCACUGUAUGCAUGAGCAAUCUGUUUUCUGAUGCUGGGACCUGGGUCACAAUCCACAGAGUGAAUAUCUCCGGCAUUUCUUCUCUAGUUGCUGAUAAUCUCUUGGGAGUAGAAACCAGCAUGAUUCCACUGCACUGGGAAAGGCAGGAUUUCAGGAAGCCAUGCAAGCAAUGUUCACCUCCUACGAAUACCAGAACUCAGCU